CCUGCCGUUGCCGGCGACCGGCGCACGGGUGAGUAACACGUAUGCAACCUGCCCGUGGCAGGGGGAUAAGCGGGGGAAACCCCGUCUAAUACCGCGUAACGCGGCCUUGGGGCAUCCCAAGGCCGCCAAAGGGAGCAAUCCCGGCCACGGAUGGGCAUGCGGCGCAUUAGCUAGUCGGCGGGGUAACGGCCCACCGAGGCGACGAUGCGUAGGGGUUCUGAGAGGAAGGCCCCCCACACUGGUACUGAGACACGGACCAGACUCCUACGGGAGGCAGCAG
rnacentral:rRNA from 1 species